ensembl:snRNA U6 U6 spliceosomal RNA
GUACUCGCUUCAGCAGUCCAUAUACUAAAAUGGGAAUGAUACAGAGACUAGCAUGGCCCCUGCCCAAGGAUGACACAUGAAUUCAUGAAGGGCUCCAUAUUUUU